rnacentral:rRNA from 1 species
AAUUAUUAUUAUUAAUUUUUAAUUAGAAGUGAAAUAUUAAACGAUUUUAAAUAUAUCUAGUUUUUUUAGAAUUGAAUUAAAUUCAGCUUUAAAAUUUUUUGAAAUAAAUUAAAUAAAUUUAUUUAUGAAUUAAAUAUUUUAAAGUAAAUAUAUUCGGGAUAAAUUGAUUAUAUGAGUUAUAAAUUAAUUUUAAUUUAUUUUAAAAGUAAUUAUAAAAUUAUAUUUCUUUUUAAAAAAUGUUUUAAUUUAUAUUUUUAAAUUUAUAUAGUAUAAUUUAAUUUUUAUUUUAAUAAUUUAUAAAAAUUUAAUAUUAAAUUAUUUUAUUUUAAAUAUAAUGAUUAUAUAAGUAAAUAUUAAUAAAAUGAAAUAAAUAAUUAUAAAAUUUUAAAAUUUAGAUUUAAGGAAUUAGGCAAAUAUUUUUAAAAUAAAAUUUAUAUUUACCUGUUUAUCAAAAACAUGUCUUAUUGAUUUAAAUAAUAAGUUUAUUCUGCCCAUUGAAAUAGAAAUUUUAAAAGGCUGCAGUAUAUUAACUGUACAAAGGUAGCAAAAUAAAUAGUUUUUUAAUUGAAAACUUGAAUGAAAGAAUUAAUAAAAUAUAUUCUGUCUCAAAUUUAAUUGAUUUAUUAAAUUUAAAUAAAAAGUUAAAAUGCUUUUAUAAUUUUAUUAGACGAUAAGACCCUAAGAAUUUAAUAAUUUUAUUUUAUUAAUUAAAUUUUAUAAUUAAUUAAUUAAUAAAAUAAAAUUUUUUUAUUGGGAGGGUAAUUAAAUUUUUAAACUUUAAUUUUUAAUAAA